AUUGAACGCUGGCGGCAGGCUUAACACAUGCAAGUCGAGCGGUAACAGAGAGAAGCUUGCUUCUCUGCUGACGAGCGGCGGACGGGUAGGCAAUGCCUAGGAAUCUGCCUAGUAGUGGGGGAUAACUUGCCGAAAGGUAAGCUAAUACCGCAUACUUCCUACGGGAGACCGGAGGGGACCUUCGGGCCUUUCGCUAUUAGAUGACCCUAGGUCGGAUUAGUUAGUUGGUGAGGUAAUGGCUCACCAAGACCGCGAUCCGUAACUGGGCUGAGAGGAUGAUCAGGCACACUGGAACUGAGACACGGUCCAGACUCAUAAGGGAGGCAGCAGUGGGGAAUAUUGGACAAUGGGGGAAACCCUGAUCCAGCCAUGUCGCGUGUGUGAAGAAGGUCUUAGGAUUGUAAAGCACUUUAAGUUGGGAGGAAGAGCAGUUAACUAAUAUUUGACUGUUUUGACGUUACCGACAGAAUAAGCACCGGCUAACUUCGUGCCAGCCGCCGCGGUAA
rnacentral:rRNA from 1 species